rnacentral:lncRNA from 1 species
AUGAAUAAAACAAGAAAGCAAGAAAGAGAGAAUGGGGAAGCUAGCUUUGAUGUGUGUUUGGAAGGUCUGCUCAACUCAGGGACACAGUAUUUUCCAGGUGGCGGAUGGGUAAUGUUACAAAAUCAUGCAUGGUUAAAAGAGCCAUUCAAAGUGAGACACCCAGUGAAUUUUAACAUAUAUGAGUAUGACAAUCCACUGGUAUGGUUUUGGGUUCCACAUUGCAACCAAUCUUUAAGGAAGUACCACUUAUCAAAUUUUGGUGUAAAACCUAGAAGGAAUAUCCAGUUAGCUGAAAGGCUACUGGAAGACUCCUUACUUUUCUGACUCGGUAUCUGCACAAGGCUGUUUUCUUCUCAUGGUCUGACCAAGCAAACAAAACCACAGACUGAAUGCAGAGGCAGAUCCUGGUCCACGCCUCACACAUUGCAACCUGUGUGGCCUCUUGGCUGUUUGGGGAUGGCUUUUUUUUUUUUUUUUUUGAGACAGAGUUUUGCUCUUUUGCCCAGGCUGGAGUAAAGUGACAUUAUCUUGGUUCACUGCAACCUCUGUCCCCCAGAUUCAAGUGAUUCUCUUGCCUCAGCCUCCCAAGUAGUUGAGAUUAUAGGUGCCCACAUAUAAACCAUGUCUGGGUAAUUGUGUAUUUUUAGUAGAGAUGAGGUUUUGCCAUGUUGGCCAGGCUGGUCUUAAACUUCUGACCUCAGGUGAUCAACCUGCCUCCGCCUCCCAAAGCGCUAGGAUUACAGAUGUGAGCCACUGUGCCUGGCUGGGAUGGCUCUUAAAUUUGCCUUUUAUCAAUGUCACUAGACUGUUUCACCUGGAAGCUUUGGCACAUUAAUGCCAGAAUUCCUACAUUGUGGCAGGGUUUUGAAGGCUGCUGUAUAUACAAUGGGGUCUCCAAAUCUGUGAGUUCUGCAUCCAUAAGAUUCAAUUAACUGUGGAAUUGAAAAUAUUUGGAAAUAAAAUGUGCAUCUGUGAUGAACACGUGCAGAGUUUCCUGUCAUUAUUAUCUAAACAGUACAGUAAAGCAACUACUUACACAGCAUUAACAUUGUUUCAGGUAUGACAAGUAAUCUAGAGAUGAUUUGAAGCACUCGGGAGGAGGUGUGCAGGUUAUAUGCAGGUACUCUGCCAUUUUAUACAAGGACUUUGAGAAUCUGCCAAUUUUGCUAUCCAUGGGUCCUGGGAUCAAUCCCCCGUGGAUACCAAGAGACAACUGUAUUAACAUUUUAAGAGCCUGGACCUUGCUCCCCUCAUAACAUUUCUGGUACAGAUGCCUCUGGCACCUUAACUUGUUUCCAUUACCUUCGUCUGUUCCAGCUAUGACUUUAAUGGCAGGUGGUGGGUAGACUUCACUGCAGUGGGAAAAGGGUGGUGACAAAUGGAUUCUGCAUAAUCUUCUUAAUGUGACAACUUUCCAUUUCAAACAGGCAGGCACUGAGACAUCAAAGCAACCAAGCGCAGCC